rnacentral:rRNA from 1 species
AGCGAACGCUGGCGGCAGGCCUAACACAUGCAAGUCGAACGAAGUCUUCGGACUUAGUGGCGGACGGGUGAGUAACACGUGGGAACGUGCCUUUAGGUUCGGAAUCACUCAGGGAAACUUGUGCUAAUACCGAAUGUGCCCUUCGGGGGAAAGAUUUAUCGCCUUUAGAGCGGCCCGCGUCUGAUUAGCUAGUUGGUGAGGUAAAGGCUCACCAAGGCGACGAUCAGUAGCUGAUCUGGGAGGAUGAUCAGCCACAUUGGGACUGAGACACGGCCCAAACUCCUACGGGAGGCAGCAGUGGGGAAUCUUGCGCAAUGGGCGAAAGCCUGACGCAGCCAUGCCGCGUGAAUGAUGAAGGUCUUAGGAUUGUAAAAUUCUUUCACCGGGGACGAUAAUGACGGUACCCGGAGAAGAAGCCCCGGCUAACUUCGUGCCAGCCGCCGCAGUAAAAC